GGACUAGAGUUUCAGAUCUGGGA
rnacentral:snRNA from 1 species